rnacentral:rRNA from 1 species
GACGAACGCUGGCGGCGUGCUUAACACAUGCAAGUCGAACGAAGCUUGAUUACGUAUUCUUCGGAUGAAGUAUGAUAUGACUGAGUGGCGGACGGGUGAGUAACGCGUGAGUAACCUGCCCUUCAGAGGGGGAUAGCGUUUGGAAACGAACGGUAAUACCGCAUAAUGUAUUUUGACCGCAUGAUCGAAAUACCAAAGAUUUAUCGCUGAAGGAUGGACUCGCGUCUGAUUAGGUAGUUGGUGGGGUAACGGCCUACCAAGCCGACGAUCAGUAGCCGGACUGAGAGGUUGAUCGGCCACAUUGGGACUGAGACACGGCCCAGACUCCUACGGGAGGCAGCAGUGGGGAAUAUUGCACAAUGGGCGCAAGCCUGAUGCAGCAACGCCGCGUGAAGGAAGACGGUUUUCGGAUUGUAAACUUCUGUUCUUAGUGAAGAAUAAUGACGGUAGCUAAGGAGCAAGCCACGGCUAACUACGUG